ACGAAUUCGCCCUUAGAGUUUGAUCCUGGCUCAGGAUGAACGCUAGCUACAGGCUUAACACAUGCAAGUCGAGGGGAAACGACAUCGAAAGCUUGCUUUUGAUGGGCGUCGACCGGCGCACGGGUGAGUAACGCGUAUCCAACCUGCCCACCACUUGGGGAUAACCUUGCGAAAGUAAGACUAAUACCCAAUGAUAUCCCACGAAGACAUCUGAAAGAGAUUAAAGAUUUAUCGGUGAUGGAUGGGGAUGCGUCUGAUUAGCUUGUUGGCGGGGUAACGGCCCACCAAGGCUACGAUCAGUAGGGGUUCUGAGAGGAAGGUCCCCCACAUUGGAACUGAGACACGGUCCAAACUCCUACGGGAGGCAGCAGUGAGGAAUAUUGGUCAAUGGGCGAGAGCCUGAACCAGCCAAGUAGCGUGCAGGAUGACGGCCCUAUGGGUUGUAAACUGCUUUUAUAAGGGAAUAAAGUGAGUCUCGUGAGGCUUUUUGCAUGUACCUUAUGAAUAAGGACCGGCUAAUUCCGUGCCAGCAGCCGCGGUAAUACGGAAGGUCCGGGCGUUAUCCGGAUUUAUUGGGUUUAAAGGGAGCGUAGGCCGGAGAUUAAGCGUGUUGUGAAAUGUAGACGCUCAACGUCUGCACUGCAGCGCGAACUGGUUUCCUUGAGUACGCACAAAGUGGGCGGAAUUCGUGGUGUAGCGGUGAAAUGCUUAGAUAUCACGAAGAACUCCGAUUGCGAAGGCAGCUCACUGGAGCGCAACUGACGCUGAAGCUCGAAAGUGCGGGUAUCGAACAGGAUUAGAUACCCUGGUAGUCCGCACGGUAAACGAUGGAUGCCCGCUGUUGGUCUGAAUAGGUCAGCGGCCAAGCGAAAGCAUUAAGCAUCCCACCUGGGGAGUACGCCGGCAACGGUGAAACUCAAAUGACAU
rnacentral:rRNA from 1 species